rnacentral:rRNA from 1 species
CACGCCCUAAACUAUGUCAACUGGUUGUCGGGGAAGAAAUUCCUUGGUAACGAAGCUAACGCGUGAAGUUGACCGCCUGGGGAGUACGGCCGCAAGGUUAAAACUCAAAGGAAUUGACGGGGACCCGCACAAGCGGUGGAUUAUGUGGAUUAAUUCGAUGCAACGCGAAAAACCUCACCUACCCUUGACAUGUACGGAACCCUCCAGAGAUGGAGGGGUGCCCGAAAGGGAGCCGUAACACAGGUGCUGCAUGGCUGUCGUCAGCUCGUGUCGUGAGAUGUUGGGUUAAGUCCCGCAACGAGCGCAACCCUUGCCAUUAGUUGCUACAUUCAGUUGGGCACUCUAAUGGGACUGCCGGUGACAAACCGGAGGAAGGUGGGGAUGACGUCAAGUCCUCAUGGCCCUUAUGGGUAGGGCUUCACACGUAAUACAAUGGCCGGUACAGAGGGCUGCCAACCCGCGAGGGGGCGCAAAUCCCAGAAAGCCGGUCGUAGUCCGGAUUGCAGUCUGCAACUCGACUGCAUGAAGCCGGAAUCGCUAGUAAUCGCGGAUCAGCACGUGGCGGCGUAUACGUCCCGUUUCUUCCCCUCACUCGCUACGCGCAUCUAGAUGGU